rfam:Oryza barthii chromosome 6, whole genome shotgun sequence.
AAUAAGUGUAGUUUUAUGCUGCUCAUGUGCAACAUUUAACUGUUCGUCUUAUUUGAAAAAAAAUAUGAUUAGUAUUUUUAUGGUUAUUAAAUGAUAAAAACUUUAUGCGUGACAAUUUUUUUUAAUUUUUUCAUAAAAUUUUCAAAUAAAACGGACAGUCAAAUGUUGGAUAUGGAUACCCACAGCUGCACUUAUU